rnacentral:rRNA from 1 species
AAAUUUAUGGUCAAGCUACUAAGGGCGUACGAUGGAUGCCUUGGCGGAAGCUGGCGAUGAAGGACGCGGUUAGCUGCGAAAAGCCUCGGGGAGCUGCUAAACAAGCUUCGAUCCGGGGAUGUCCGAAUGGGGCAACCCACGGGGAGUUAUAUCCUCGUAUCCCUGACUGAAUCCAUAGGUCAGGGAGGCAAACCCAGGGAACUGAAACAUCUCAGUACCUGGAGGAAGAGAAAGAAAUUCGAUUCUCCUAGUAGUGGCGAGCGAACGGGGAACAGCCCAAACCCCGCCUUUGGCGGGGGGUUGUGGGACUCCAAUAUGGGACCUGAAGGGAUAGCCGAACGGGAUGGAAAGCCCGGCCAUAGACAGUGAUAGCCUGGUAGGCGAAAUCUUGACAGGCCCUAGGAGUAUCCCGAGUACCACGGGACACGUGAAAUCCUGUGGGAAGCCGGGAGGACCAUCUCCCAAGGCUAAAUACAUGCUUCCGACCGAUAGUGAACUAGUACCGUGAGGGAAAGGUGAAAAGCACCCCGUGAGGGGAGUGAAAUAGUACCUGAAAUCGUAUGCCUACAAGCAGUGGUAGCCCUAUGGUCCCGAGCGCAAGCGAGGGGCAAUGGGUGACCGCGUGCCUUUUGCAUAAUGAGUCAGUGAGUUACUUUUAGCAGCAAGGUUAAGCCACUUUGUGGCGGAGCCGUAGCGAAAGCGAGUCUGAAUAGGGCGUUUUAAGUUGCUAGGAGUAGACCCGAAACCAGGUGAUCUACCCAUGGUUAGGAUGAAGGUGCCGUAACAGGCACUGGAGGUCCGAACUGGUAGCCGUUGAAAAGGCUUCGGAUGAACUGUGGGUAGGAGUGAAAGGCUAAACAAACCUGGAGAUAGCUGGUUCUCCCCGAAAUAUAUUGAGGUAUAGCCUCACCGCAUUCAGUAACGGGGGUAGAGCACUGAAUGGACUAGGGGGCAGAAAUGCCUACCAAAUCCAAUCAAACUCCGAAUACCGUUAACUGCUAUGGUGGGAGACAGACGGCGGGUGAUAAGGUCCGUCGUCGAGAGGGAAAAAGCCCAGAUCGUCGGCUAAGGUCCCCAAAUUGAUGCUUAGUGUGAAAGGAUGUAGGAACGCAUAAACAGCCAGGAGGUUGGCUUAGAAGCAGCCACCCUUUAAAGAAAGCGUAAUAGCUCACUGGUCAAGUGAUCCUGCGCCGAAAAUAUAACGGGGCUUAAGCAUCAUACCGAAGCCACGGGUCCUCAACACUUUGGUGUUGAGGGCGGUAGGGGAGCAUUCUCGUUGCCUGUGAAGGUCGAUCGCGAGGACGACUGGAGGUCCGAGAAGAGAUUAUGCUGACAUGAGUAGCGAUAACGGAGGUGAGAAACCUCCGCGCCGUAAGCCCAAGGUUUCCUGGGGAAGGUUAAUCCGCCCAGGGUGAGUCGGUCCUAAGCUGAGGCCGAAAGGCGUAAGCGAUGGAUAUCCGGUUAAUAUUCCGGAACCAUCUUGUAUGGGUUACACAAAGGGGGGACGGAGAAGGAUAGCUCAGUCUCGCAAUGGAAUGCGAGAUUUAAGCGUGUAGGAAGUUCCGAUAGGCAAAUCCGUCGGGACACUAUUCCGAGACGCGAUGACGACCUGCUUUGCAGGACAAAGUGAGUAAUUCCACGCUUCCAAGAAAAACCUCGUUGUUACUGUACAGGAUGACCGUACCGUAAACGGACACACGUAGGCGGGGAGAGGAUCCCAAGGCGCUUGAGAGAACGCUGGUUAAGGAACUCUGCAAAUUAACACCGUAACUUCGGAAGAAGGUGUGCCUCAUUAUGUGUAGGACUUCGCGUUCGAAGCAUGAUGAGGUCGCAGCGAAAGGGUGGCGGCGACUGUUUAACAAAAACACAGGACUAUGCAAAGUCGUAAGACGACGUAUAUGGUCUGACGCCUGCCCGGUGCCGGAAGGUUAAGGUAAGAGGUUAGCUUCGGCGAGGCCUUGAACCGAAGCCCCGGUAAACGGCGGCCGUAACUAUAACGGUCCUAAGGUAGCGAAAUUCCUUGUCGGGUAAGUUCCGACCUGCACGAAUGGCGUAACGAUUGCCACACUGUCUCGACCAGCGACUCUGCGAAAUUGUAAUGGCCGUGCAGAUGCGGUCUACCCGCGGAAAGACGGAAAGACCCUGUGCACCUUUACUAUAACUUGGCAGUGAGCUUCGAAGUGAUUUGUGUAGGAUAGGUGGGAGGCUUUGAAACGGGGGCGCUAGCUCUCGUGGAGCCAACCUUGAAAUACCACCCUGGUUAUUUUGGAGUUCUCACCCCAUCCUGUGAAACCAGGUGGGAGACACUGUCUGGUGGGUAGUUUGACUGGGGCGGUCGCCUCCAAAAGAGUAACGGAGGCGCACGAAGGUUCCCUCAGGCUGAUUGGAAACCAGCCGUUGAGUGUAAAGGCAUAAGGGAGCUUGACUGCGAGAUCUACAAAUCGAGCAGGUGCGAAAGCAGGUCUUAGUGAUCCGGUGGUUCUGGAUGGAAGGGCCAUCGCUCAUCGGAUAAAAGGUACGCCGGGGAUAACAGGCUGAUCGCGCCCGAGAGUUCAUAUCGACGGCGCGGUUUGGCACCUCGAUGUCGG